AUACUUACCUUGCAGGGGAGAUACCAUGAUCACGAAGGUGGUUUUCCCAGGGCAAGGCUUAUCCAUUGCACUCCAGAUGUGCUGACCCCUGUGAUCCCCCCUCCCAAAUAUCAAUAGAUCAGUCCCGAAGCAAUAGCAAGUUAUGGAUGUACUAAAGGAAAUGGAUGCACAAAGCCCUGGGCUUGGUC
rfam:Fukomys damarensis contig149321, whole genome shotgun sequence.